rnacentral:other from 1 species
UUUGCUCUGCCAUAUUGGCCAUUAAAUCCUCAGCAAAAUUCUUCUACAAACUUUCAUUUAAGGGAUUCCAAUAUUUUUCCGAACUGUGGUUCGGAAGUGCGGAAACCCACCUGGUUAUCAGGGUGGAACCCACUGAGAUAAAUUUAAAAAGCGGUAUGGCGGAGCUUUA